UACGUAGGGUGCAAGCGUUAAUCGGAAUUACUGGGCGUAAAGCGUGCGCAGGCGGUUUUGUAAGUUUGUCGUGAAAUCCCCGGGCUCAACCUGGGAAUGGCGAUGAAGACUGCAAGGCUAGAAUCUGGCAGAGGGGGGUAGAAUUCCACGUGUAGCAGUGAAAUGCGUAGAGAUGUGGAGGAACACCGAUGGCGAAGGCAGCCCCCUGGGCCAAUACUGACGCUCAUGCACGAAAGCGUGGGGAGCAAACAGG
rnacentral:rRNA from 1 species